GGAGUUAGCCGGUGCUUCUUCUGCGAGUAACGUCACAGAUGUAAGGUAUUAACUUACACCCUUUCCUCCUCGCUGAAAGUGCUUUACAACCCGAAGGCCUUCUUCACACACGCGGCAUGGCUGCAUCAGGGUUUCCCCCAUUGUGCAAUAUUCCCCACUGCUGCCUCCCGUAGGAGUCUGGGCCGUGUCUCAGUCCCAGUGUGGCUGAUCAUCCUCUCAGACCAGCUAGGGAUCGUCGCCUAGGUGAGCCUUUACCUCACCUACUAGCUAAUCCCACCUGGGCUUAUCCAUCAGCGCAAGGCCCGAAGGUCCCCUGCUUUCCCCCGUAGGGCGUAUGCGGUAUUAGCAGUCGUUUCCAACUGUUAUCCCCCACAAAUGGGCAAAUUCCCAGGCAUUACUCACCCGUCCGCCGCUCGUCAUCUUCAAAAGCAAGCUUUUGAAAUGUUACCGCUCGACUUGCAUGUGUUAGGCCUGCCGCCAGCGUUCAUCUGAGCCGAGAUACAACUACUGA
rnacentral:rRNA from 1 species